UGGCUACUAGAGGCCUCUAUCAUUCUCUAUGGGCUGAGCAUGGUGAAAACAGCUGUUCAGAAGCAGGAAAUAGCUAUGAGUUGGAACUGUUUGUUAGACCGCGCUAAACAACGACAAAAAACGAGCGUAUCCCAGGUUCUCGGGGGCUGUGACGAACAUCUCAGCGUUGGUGACGGGGGGCCAGAAGGGAACCAUGUUGAACUGUCUGUUGUGACCAAUGGGAGCAUUCUCCUCCGGGUGUGACAGACUAUACCUGGGGCGUGUCGGCUCAGCCACUCAUCAAAGAUGGCGUCAGUGAAGGUGUGGAGCAGGACAAAGAUGGGGUCGUUAGGGGACAGGUGUGUCUGCCCUCCCGUCCCGUUGAGAAACAGCUGCAGCAGGUGGAACCUGUGCCAGGUGACGAAUCCCGGGCCUUCGUGAGAAAAGUCCACACCCCCAAAGCUAGCCUGCCCCGCCCCCAUAUAUCCUCUGAUCACAGUUAGAUCCGGUGAGUCCAUGUCGGCACCGGCCACAGUUAUACCCCGCAAAGUUCCCGUUACACCGGCACGUCCGGUUAAAGAACCUUAACGGCCAGUGCUCCCGGUCGUCCCGGCCAUCAUGUGGGUACUGGGGGCCGUGGCGGUGGCUGUCGGCAGCUACGGACACACACUGACCCCUCCCUGUGGCAGAACCACACUCGUCACCCAGGGCUCCAGCGGGAGAGGGGCAGCACUGGCCGCUCCGUAGCCCCACUGAGGUGACACAUUCUCUGGGAAACUGUGCCAGGGUCCAUGGGGUCAGGCCCAGCACCACCAGGAGACCCAGCCAACACAUACUGGAGAUGGAGGAGAGAGAAAAAGGCCGUCUUUAUUCGUUUUUGAAAGAAAGACAGUUUUUUAUUCAUUUGUGUGUGUGUGUAAUGUUAACUGUUAAUUCGUGACUGUUGAUUUAACUUGUUUUGGCAAUGUAAACAUAUGUUUUCAAUGCCAAUAAAGGUCCUUUGAAUUUAAAUUGAAUUUAGAGAUAGAGACAAAGUGGCAGAGCAGAGGAGAGAGAGAGAGAGAGAUCGAGAUCAUUAUAACACUGUAUAUAUACGUAAUAUGACAUUUGAAAUGUCUUUAUUCUUUUGGAACUUCUGUGUGUAAUGUUUACUCUAAAUUUGUAUUGUUUAUUUCACUUUUGUUUAUUAUAUUCUUCAAUUUCUUUGGCAAUGUAAACAUAUGUUUCCAUUGCCAAUAAAGCCAUUGAAUUGAGAGAGGAAGUGAGAGAGACAGAGGAGAGCGUCAACAGGGAUAUGCAUCAACAGAAACCUUGGGAAAAUCCUCUGCGUUAUCAUUAAUAGCAGACUAGUACAUUUCCUCAGUGAAAACAAUGUACUGAGCAAGUGUCAAAUUGUUUUUUUUACCAAAUUAUUAUACAACAGACCAUGUAUUCACCCUGCACACCCUAAUUGACAACCAAACAAAUCGAAACAAAGGCAAGUCUUCUCAUGCUUUGCUGAUUUCAAAAAAGCCUCAAUUUGGCAUGAGGGUCUGCUAUACAAACGACAUUAUAAAAUCCAUGUACACAAACAAGUGUUUUUUGGGGGGGGGUCUGGCUAAAAAUACUUGAAUCAGUCAUAGAGCCCAUUGCCCUUUAUGGUUGUGAGGUCUGGGGUCCGCUCACCAACCAAGAAUUUACAAUUUACAACACCAAAUUGAGACUCUGCAUGUAAAAUUCAGCAAAAAUAUCCUUUGUGUACAUCGUAAAACACCAAAUAAUUCAUGCAGAGCAGAAUUAGGCCGAUACCCACUAAUUAUCAAAAUCCAGAAAAGAGACCUUAAAUUCUACAACCACCUAAAAGGAAGCGAUUCCUAAACCUUCCAUAACAAAGCCAUCACCUACAGAGAGAUGAACCUGGAGAAGAGUCCCCUAAGCAAGCUGGUCCUAGGGCUCUAUUCACAAACACAAACACACCCCACAGAGCCCCAGGACAACAGCACAAUUAGACCCAACCAAAUCAUGAGAAAACAAAAAGAUAAUUACUUGACACAUUGGAAAGAAUUUACAAAAAAACUGAGGAAACUAGAAUGCUAUUUGGCCCUAAACAGAGAGUACACAGUGGCAGAAUACCUGACCACUGUGACUGACCCAAACUUAAGGAAAGCUUUGACUAUGUACAGACUCAGUGAGCAUAGCCUUGCUAUUGAGAAAGGCCGCCGUAGGCAGACCUGGCUCUCAAGAGAAGACAGGCUAUGUGCACACUGCCCACAAAAUGAGGUGGAAACCGAGCUGCACUUCCUAACCUCCUGCCCAAUGUAUGACCAUAUUAGAGACACAUAUUUCCCUCAGAUCACACAGAUCCACAAAGAAUUCGAAAACAAAUCCAAUUUUGAUAAACUCCCAUAUCUACUGGGUGAAAUUCCACAGUGUGCCAUCACAGCAGCAAGAUGUGUGACCUGUUGUCACAAGAAAAGGGCAACCAGUGAAGAACAAACACCAUUGUAAAUACAACCCAUAUUUAUGCUUAUUUAUUUUCCCUUUUGUACUUUAACCAUUUGUACAUCGUUACAACACUGUAUAUAUACAUAAUAUGACAUUUGUAAUGUCUUUAUUCUUUUAGAACUUCUGCGAAUGUAAUGUUUACUGUUUAUUUUUAAUGUUUAUUUCACUUUUGUUUAUUAUCUACUUCACUUGCUUUGGCAAUGUUAACAUACGUUUCCCAUGCCAAUGAAGCCCCUUGAAUUGAA